rfam:Streptococcus pyogenes Alab49, complete genome.
AUAGUGACUCCACUCUAGCUAGUUAAGCUUGCUAAGAGAAUAACGGUAUCCUGGAACUCCUAAAACAUGUUACUACAAGACAAGUCUUGAUAACAAUAUAACUUUUAGCUAAGAAUAACUAACAGCAACAUCAAAAAGAGGAUUUAUGAAA